UACGAAGGGGGCUAGCGUUGCUCGGAAUCACUGGGCGUAAAGCGCACGUAGGCGGCUUUUUAAGUCAGGGGUGAAAUCCUGGAGCUCAACUCCAGAACUGCCUUUGAUACUGAGAAGCUUGAGUCCGGGAGAGGUGAGUGGAACUGCGAGUGUAGAGGUGAAAUGCGUAGAUAUCGUUUGGAACGCCAAAGGCGAAAGCAGACGACUGGGAUUGCGCUGACGCUGAGACACGAAAGCCAGGGGAGCAAACGGG
rnacentral:rRNA from 1 species